rnacentral:rRNA from 1 species
CAAUAGCGUAUAUUAAAGUUGUUGCAGUUAAAAAGCUCGUAGUUGGAUUUCUGGUGGGAGCGAUCGGUCUGGCGCUUAGCGCGAGUACUUGCAUCGUCUCCGGCCAUCCUUGGGGAGAGUCUGUCUGGCAUUAGGUUGUCGGGCAGAGGAUCCUCAUCGUUUACUGUGAAAAAAUUAGAGUGUUCAAAGCAGGCUUAUGCCGUUGAAUAUAUUAGCAUGGAAUAAUAAGAUAGGACUUUGGUACUAUUUUGUUGGUUUGCGCACCAAAGUAAUGAUUAAUAGGGACAGUUGGGGGUAUUCGUAUUCCGUUGUCAGAGGUGAAAUUCUUGGAUUUACGGAAGACGAACUACUGCGAAAGCAUUGACCAAGGAUGUUUUCAUUAA